rnacentral:rRNA from 1 species
GACGAACGCUGGCGGCGUGCUUAACACAUGCAAGUCGAACGGUGAAGCUCCAGCUUGCUGGAGUGGAUCAGUGGCGAACGGGUGAGUAACACGUGAGCAACCUGCCCCUGACUCUGGAAUAAGCGCUGGAAACGGCGUCUAAUACUGGAUACGAGAAGGGACCGCAUGGGCACUUUCUGGAAAGUUUUUCGGUUGGGGAUGGGCUCGCGGCCUAUCAGCUUGUUGGUGAGGUAAUGGCUCACCAAGGCGACGACGGGUAGCCGGCCUGAGAGGGCGACCGGCCACACUGGGACUGAGACACGGCCCAGACUCCUACGGGAGGCAGCAGUGGGGAAUAUUGCACAAUGGGCGAAAGCCUGAUGCAGCGACGCCGCGUGAGGGAUGACGGCCUUCGGGUUGUAAACCUCUUUCAGCAGGGAAGAAGCGAAAGUGACGGUACCUGCAGAAGAAGCACCGGCUAACUACGUG